AUGGAUAAGGUGUACAUUGGCAUCCUCUCAUGCGCCUUGGUCUUCCUGCUCCACUAUCUCCUUGGCAAGAAGAAGAAGAAGAAGAAGAAGAAGAAGCACAACGGCAAUCUGCCGAGCCCUCGGGCCAUCCCGUUUCUGGGCCACCUCCAUCUCGUGAAGCAGCCAAUCCACGCGGCGCUAUGCCGCCUGGUAGAGCGCCACGGACCCGUGUUCUCGCUUCGCCUAGGCUCUCGCAGAACCGUCGUGGUGUCCUCGGCGGCAAGCGCCAGGGAGUGCUUCACCGAGCACGAUGUGGCCUUGGCCGACCGUCCUAGGAUCCCCUCGUGGCGGUUCGUGUCCAUGGACUUCUCGAUGCUUGCCGCGACCAGCUACGGCCCGCACUGGCGAACCCUCCGCCGCGUGGCGGCGUGCAUCUGCUCUCCACGCAGCGGGUGA
rnacentral:rRNA from 1 species